rnacentral:rRNA from 1 species
UACACUCCUACGGGAGGCAGCAGUGGGGAAUAUUGGACAAUGGGCGCAAGCCUGAUCCAGCCAUGCCGCGUGAGUGAUGAAGGCCCUAGGGUUGUAAAGCUCUUUCACCGGUGAAGAUAAUGACGGUAACCGGAGAAGAAGCCCCGGCUAACUUCGUGCCAGCAGCCGCGGUAAUACGAAGGGGGCUAGCGUUGUUCGGAUUUACUGGGCGUAAAGCGCACGUAGGCGGACUAUUAAGUCAGGGGUGAAAUCCCGGGGCUCAACCCCGGAACUGCCUUUGAUACUGGUAGUCUUGAGUUCGAGAGAGGUGAGUGGAAUUCCGAGUGUAGAGGUGAAAUUCGUAGAUAUUCGGAGGAACACCAGUGGCGAAGGCGGCUCACUGGCUCGAUACUGACGCUGAGGUGCGAAAGCGUGGGGAGCAAACAGGAUUAGAUACCCGGGUAGUCCCAUGAG